rnacentral:miRNA from 1 species
UCCGGAACGAACUGCGCAUGUGC